AUUUCUGAACAAAUACUCUAAAAUAACAAUACUCAUUAGUGGCAAAUCUAAAUACAAAUCUAAACUUUUAUUACUCAUGCAAGAAAAGUUAAGGGUUAAUUUAUGAAACAACUAAGUUUUAAUAAACUGUUAAAAAUAUAGCACUAUUAAUUUCAUCACAUUUUCUCCGAUUCAUUUUGGUGUUGUCUUCUUCUAGUCCGGUAGACAGUACAUACCAUAUAUGGGUAUCACCUCUCAGCAAGAUUUAAGAAAUAAUGGAGUUCUUAUUGUAGUGGUGAUGGUUAUCGAUGCUGACUACGGUGGUUGGUGACUACAACGGUGGUAGUUACAGAGCAAGCAGCAGUCGUGAAUACGGCAGAGAUGAUGGUAGUGGUGAUGGUGCUAGUGGUUACUAUUGCAGUCAUGCCCGACAUAAUGAACUGGAGAAAGCAACGAUGUUAUAAAAAAGCAUAAAAAAUAUAAAUAGAAUGGAACAGAUGAAUAUAUUGCAUAUAAAUAAAAUUAUCAAAUAGAAUGGUGUACUUGAAAAAUAGAUUGUGUUUAUUUGUUAGACAUCUAAGAUUGCAGAUCUGAUUGUGAUCGUGGUGGUGGUGACUAUGGUGAUGGUGUCCGACUGAUGGAUGUGCUUAUGAAGGAGCUGAUUGUGAUUACGGAGGAGGAGAUGGUGGUUACGGAGGAAGAGGUGGUGGUUGAUAUGGAGAAGACGAAGGUAAAUAUGAAAGAUGAAAAAACUAGAUUACAAAAAAAAAUGAAGAUUACGGUGGCGUGGUUACAGAGGGAAGCAGCGGUCGUGAAUACAAAGGAAACAAUGGUAUUUUGUAACAGACGUUACGAACGGUAAAAAAAAAAGGGGAAAUUUGGUUGUAUAACCAACAAAAAAAUUAUAAUUCAAUUUAUAGCUAAAUUUUUAUUUCUACGGUAUCAUGUGUCUUUUAUGUAAUAUUGUCAUAUUACCUUCUAUUGUAUCCGGCAAAACC
rnacentral:lncRNA from 1 species